GUGGCAAUCUAGAACAUAUUGAAUCACGGCUCCCAAAAAAAGUGAAGUAAAGUUCUACAAGUUCCAACAAUUCCUUUAUUUAGGCUUGUAUAUUAUUAUUUCUUCCAACAGUGUGGCACAAGUUCGUUGAGGGCAAACUGGAAUAGAACAAGAUAAACAAAUGGUGUAUAAAUGUGGAUGACUGCGCAGACCAACCUGCAACAUCAAGGCCUUAUUGAAUGUUUCAAGAGUACAUAUUUUGUAAGAUUGUAUUGUAUAUCUGAAAUGAGAGGGGACUAAAGUUAUAUUAGUAGGCAUAUCUUGACUAUGAUGGAAAUGUUCAUAUCUUUCUGCAUUAAAGGGGCUCACCCAGCUGCAGACAAAUCA